rnacentral:piRNA from 1 species
UGUGACAGUCAACAGUUAUCUAAAGCA